CCAGGUCCCAAGUAUUCCUGAUAAUAGAUUCCAUAUGUGUACAAUAUUAUAUAAAAAGUACUGGUUAAAAUAAUACGUCCAAUCGGUCUUAAAACUACCAAGAACAAGACCGAUUGGACGUAGUAUUUUAACCAGUACUUUUCCUUACUAUACUUCAUUAAAAUCUUUAAAAUUUUCAGGCAAAAACAUCCCAUUUUACUUUUUCUUUUUUCUGUUCUCCAUAUACAGUUCACAGAAGCUAUCUUCCAGCUCUUCGGAAUGGGAGCGGCAUAUUGGCAAUUUCUGUGACUUCCGGCGCAUGUGCAGUUGUGCCGGAUAGGAAGAUUGCUUCAACUAUGCAUGAGCCGAUACAGCGAUCUCAUUCCGAAGAUUAUUGAAGAGAAGAAGAUGGCUCCCGUGAACUCCGCUGGACAGAAUCUGCAAUGAGGGGAAUGAGUGGGCUACAGCUGAACUAAUGGCUUUCCUCUAUGGAAGGAACACAACAUUCUUCAUGCCUGCAGCAGUUUUGGCAUCACUAAGCCUGCUGACUGGUUGAAUUCCUUCCCAGUGACCUGCAGGUGUCUAUAUAACAAGCUGGAGCUGAUUGGCAAAUCUUUGUCCCGGUCUCUACAACAACUGCCUGCUGAUUGGCUGAACAUUUCUCUAGCCAGUACUUCCUUGAAAUCAGAGGCCCUGUGACAGUUGGGAGUUUUUUUGCCUUGAGAAAAACAGCAGCAGCUUCUUCCUUCUCUAAUAAAUGCCUUUUGGUGUUAAAAUGAUGUUCACGGGACAGUUAUAAUUCAACAGGGGUGGAUAGAUUAACUGCCGACCCCUCUCAUCCACCAGGGUUAUAUGUUCCAGUUGCCUAGUGGUGCAUAGCAGGAACAGUAGUCAGUUUUAAACCAGCUGAUUAAAAUGGAUGAUUAAAAUGGAUGCUCUGCUUUUUCUGGGAGCCAAUAAGUAAAAAAAAAGCUAUUAAAGCUAAAGAAUCACCAUCUGAGAGACGCGCCAAUUGCAGCACCGCCUCAGUUACUUUCCUUAGACUGAACUCAUGCAGCGCUGAGGGGCUUAUGGAAAACAACCUGUGUUUAAACUACACUACAUGAAUUGGCACAAAGUUGCACUCAGCAGCUCACUGAAUUCUUUUUAUUCGCACCCAUUAGUUCACUUGCACUUUUGUCCAGGGACUCUAUAAUCAGACAUAAAUUCAAAAUAAGAAUUCCAAAAUGAUAUUAUUUUAAAGAAACAAACAUAUCUUUUUCCUCCAUUAUGAAAACGUGGAUUUGCAAAUUACAGGUCCAAAGAAAUUCAGAAAAUCCCAGCCUGAAAUCUCACCCUUGAUCUGAGGAUGAAUCCAUUAUAUUUCUUGCACCUCCGAGAACAUUUCAGAAGCAUCACAGCGAGGUCUUUUUCCAACUUCAUCUAUCAUGUUACUUUGUAUCAGAUGAUUCCACCGUAUCCAAGGGUUGUUCUACAUCUGUGAAUGGUGUAUUCAUAAAGUCUUCUACAUUUUUCUUA